AACGAACGCUGGCGACAUGCUUAACACAUGCAAGUCGAACGAGAACUUCGGGUUUAGUGGCGCACGGGUUCGUAACGGGGGGGAUCCUGCCUUUAGGUUCUGAAUAACGCCCUGAAAUGGGUGCUAAUACCGGAUAAUGUCUUCGGAUCAAAGAAUUAUCGUCUUUGGAUGGGCCCGCGUUGGAUUAGCUAGUUGGGAGGGUAAAAGCCUAACAAGGCGACGAUCCAUAGCUGGUCUGAGAGGAUGAGCAGCAAGACUGGGACUGAGACACGGCCCAGACUCCGACGGGAGGCAGCAGUGGAGAAUAUUGGACAAUGGGAGAAAGGCUGAUCCAGCACUGCCGCGUGAGUGAUGAAGGCCGUAGGGUAGUAAAGCUCUUUUACGCGAGAUGAUAAUGACAGUACCGGGAGAAUAAGCUCCGGCUAACUACGUG
rnacentral:rRNA from 1 species